ACGGGAGGCAGCAGUGGGGAAUAUUGCACAAUGGGGGAAACCCUGAUGCAGCGACGCCGCGUGAGCGAAGAAGUAUUUCGGUAUGUAAAGCUCUAUCAGCAGGGAAGAUAAUGACGGUACCUGACUAAGAAGCUCCGGCUAAAUACGUGCCAGCAGCCGCGGUAAUACGUAUGGAGCAAGCGUUAUCCGGAUUUACUGGGUGUAAAGGGAGUGUAGGCGGAAGGCUAAGUCUGAUGUGAAAACCCAGGGCUCAACCCUGGGACUGCAUUGGAAACUGGUUUUCUAGAGUAUCGGAGAGGUAAGUGGAAUUCCUAGUGUAGCGGUGAAAUGCGUAGAUAUUAGGAGGAACACCAGUGGCGAAGGCGGCUUACUGGACGAUAACUGACGCUGAGGCUCGAAAGCGUGGGGAGCAAACAGGAUUAGAUACCCUGGUA
rnacentral:rRNA from 1 species